AAAAAAUAUUUUUACGGUGUUGAACAUAUUAAUAUCAUUGUACUAAAAUCAUUUAAGCAGUGUAAGCAAGUGAGCACGUAUUCGAGAUUUUCCUAAACGGAAA